ACACGACACUCUGGAAAGCGGACGCGGCCCGGCCACGUCCCACCGAAGGGGUAAGCCAGGCGACUGGCGAAAGCUCUCAGGUUCCGUGACAGAGGGGGCGAU
rnacentral:ncRNA from 1 species